rnacentral:rRNA from 1 species
GGGCCCGCACAAGCGGCGGAGCAUGCGGAUUAAUUCGAUGCAACGCGAAGAACCUUACCAAGGCUUGACAUGGACCGGACCGGGCUGGAAACAGUCCUUCCCCUUUGGGGCCGGUUCACAGGUGGUGCAUGGUUGUCGUCAGCUCGUGUCGUGAGAUGUUGGGUUAAGUCCCGCAACGAGCGCAACCCUCGUUCCAUGUUGCCAGCGCGUAAUGGCGGGGACUCAUGGGAGACUGCCGGGGUCAACUCGGAGGAAGGUGGGGACNACGUCAAAUCAUCAUGCCCCUUAUGUCUUGGGCUUCACGCAUGCUACAAUGGCCGGUACAAAGGGUUGCGAUACUGUGAGGUGGAGCUAAUCCCAAAAAGCCGGUCUCAGUUCGGAUUGGGGUCUGCAACUCGACCCCAUGAAGUCGGAGUCGCUAGUAAUCGCAGAUCAGCAACGCUGCGGUGAAUACGUUCCCGGGCCUUGUACACACCGCCCGUCAAGUCACGAAAGUUGGUAACACCCGAAGCCGGUGGCCUAACCCCUUGUGGGAGGGAGCUGUCGAAGGUGGGACUGGCGAUUGGGACU